rnacentral:rRNA from 1 species
GACGAACGCUGGCGGCGUGCUUAACACAUGCAAGUCGAACGGUGAGGGGAUCAGCUUGCUGGUUCUGGAUGAGUGGCGCACGGGUGAGUAACACGUGAGUAACCUGCCCCCUUCUUCUGGAUAACCGCAUGAAAGUGUGGCUAAUACGGGAUAUUCUGGUUCUGUCGCAUGAUGGGUCUGGGAAAGAUAUUGUUUCGGUGGGGGAUGGGCUCGCGGCCUAUCAGCUUGUUGGUGGGGUGAUGGCCUACCAAGGCGGUGACGGGUAGCCGGCCUGAGAGGGGGGGCGGUGAGAGUGGGACUGGGACACGGCCCAGACUGCUACGGGAGGGAGCAGUGGGGAAUAUUGCACAAUGGGCGCAAGCCUGAUGCAGCGACGCCGCGUGAGGGAUGGAGGCGUGCGGGUUGUAAGCCUCUUUCGCCAGUGAAGCAGGCCUGCUCGUUGUGGGUGGGUUGACGGUAGCUGGAUAAGAAGCGCCGGCUAACUACGUG